GUGACCCCAGGAUGGGCGAGGCCACCCGC
rnacentral:rRNA from 8 species